GAUGAACGCUGGCGGCGUGCCUAAUACAUGCAAGUCGAGCGAUCAAACGCGGCUCUCGCUCCUCUGACGUUACCAACGGAUGAGUGAGUCGCACGUAACUUACCUACCACUCUGACUUGGACAUGGGCAGGUGACCGUAGCUCCUGCCGGGUACUAUCUCCACACGCAUGGUUCUGUAAUGAUUUAUGGUUUUUCUGUCGCUUAUCGGUGUAUCCGCUCGUCAUUAGCUAGAUGGUACGGUAACGCCUUAACAAGGCAACGAAGCGUAGCCGACCUGGGCGGGGGAUAGGCCACACGGGAACGGGGACACGGUCCAGACUCCUACGGGAGGCAGCAGUAGGGAAUGUUCCGCAAUGGGCGGGAGCCUGACGGAGCAGCGCCGCGUGAGUGAUGAAGGUCUUCGGAUCGUAAAACUCUGUUAUUAGUGAAGAACAAAUGUGUAAGGAACUAUGCACGUCGUGACGGUACCUAAUCAGAAAGCCACGGCUAACUACGUG
rnacentral:rRNA from 1 species